AUUGAACGCUGGCGGCAUGCUUUACACAUGCAAGUCGAACGGCAGCGCGGGGGCAACCCUGGCGGCGAGUGGCGAACGGGUGAGUAAUGCAUCGGAACGUAUCCUGUAAUGGGGGAUAACGUAGCGAAAGUUACGCUAAUACCGCAUACGCUCGAGAGAGGAAAGUGGGGAUCGCAAAGACCUCACGUUAUAGGAGCGGCCGAUGUCCGAUUAGCUAGUUGGUGGGUAAAGGCCUACCAAGGCGACGAUCGGUAGCUGGUCUGAGAGGAUGAUCAGCCACACUGGGACUGAGACACGGCCCAGACUCCUACGGGAGGCAGCAGUGGGGAAUUUGGACAAUGGGCGAAAGCCUGAUCCAGCCAUGCCGCGUGCGGGAAGAAGGCCU
rnacentral:rRNA from 1 species